rnacentral:rRNA from 1 species
AUUGAACGCUGGCGGCAUGCCUUACACAUGCAAGUCGAACGGCAGCGGGGGAGAAGCUUGCUUUUCCUGCCGGCGAGUGGCGGACGGGUGAGUAAUACAUCGGAACGUGCCCUGUAGUGGGGGAUAACUAGUCGAAAGAUUAGCUAAUACCGCAUACGACCUGAGGGUGAAAGUGGGGGACCGCAAGGCCUCAUGCUAUAGGAGCGGCCGAUGUCUGAUUAGCUAGUUGGUGGGGUAAAGGCCUACCAAGGCGACGAUCAGUAGCUGGUCUGAGAGGACGAUCAGCCACACUGGGACUGAGACACGGCCCAGACUUCUACGGGAGGCAGCAGUGGGGAAUUUUGGACAAUGGGCGAAAGCCUGAUCCAGCAAUGCCGCGUGUGUGAAGAAGGCCUUCGGGUUGUAAAGCACUUUUGUCCGGAAAGAAAUGGCUCUGGUUAAUACCUGGGGUCGAUGACGGUACCGGAAGAAUAAGGACCGGCUAACUACGUGCCAGCCGCCGCCGUAA